CAAAAAGUAGUUCUUAUAGAAGAAAUUAUAUGUGUGUGUAAUAUAUAUAUAUGUAUAUAUAUUAUGUGUGUGUGUAUAUAUAUAUAUGUAUAUAUAUGUAUGUGUGUAUGUAUAUGUAUGUAUGUGUAUGUAUAAAAUGUUUGCAGGCACAUAGGAUGAGUGACCCGUCAAAGGAGAUUUUAGAACUUAUCAGUGGGACAAAUGUUGAAUUUCUAAAUGCAGAACAUGGUCAUUCUUUGAAUAUUUAAGUACAAAUAUUAUUUCUUGGAUUAGAUUUGAAUGCAAAGGCCACUUUAAAGCCUAGUUCCUUUUUGUCGGACUAAGAGCAAGAGCCAGCUGUGUAAGAGCACCACUAAAAUGCCCCGGUGUUUGCCUCCAUCAUCACUGUCCCUGUGACACAACUCAGAAAACAAGAUGGAUGAGACAAGACGAGGCCAGAUGAGGCGAGAUGUGGUGAUUUUCACAUAACUAAAUAAACAGACAUUUGAACAUUAUGCAAGAUUAUGAAAUGUUACACUCUACUAAACACAAUAAAAUACUAUUUUACAAUUGU
rnacentral:lncRNA from 1 species